CAGUAGCCGCGGUAAUACAGAGGAUGCAAGCGUUAUCCGGAAUGAUUGGGCAUAAAGUGUCUGUAGGUGGCUUUUCAAGUCCGCCGUCAAAUCCCAGGGCUCAACCGUGGACAGGCGGUGGAAACUACCAAGCUGGAGUAUGGUAGGGGCAGAGGGAAUUUCCGGUGGAGCGGUGAAAUGCGUUGAGAUCGGAAAGAACACCAACAGCGAAAUCACUCUGCUAGGCCGACACUGACACUGAGAGACGAAAUCUAGGGGAGCAAAUGGGAUUAGAUACCCCGGUAGUCCCUGUCUCUGAUAC
rnacentral:rRNA from 1 species